rnacentral:rRNA from 1 species
ACUCCUACGGGAGGCAGCAGUGGGGAAUAUUGCACAAUGGGGGAAACCCUGAUGCAGCCAUGCCGCGUGUGUGAAGAAGGCCUUCGGGUUGUAAAGCACUUUCAGUAGGGAGGAAGGUAGUGUAGUUAACACCUGCAUUAUUUGACGUUACCUACAGAAGAAGCACCGGCUAACUCCGUGCCAGCAGCCGCGGUAAUACGGAGGGUGCGAGCGUUAAUCGGAAUUACUGGGCGUAAAGCGCAUGCAGGCGGCCUGUUAAGUCAGAUGUGAAAGCCCGGGGCUUAACCUCGGAAUUGCAUUUGAAACUGGCAGGCUAGAGUCUUGUAGAGGGGGGUAGAAUUUCAGGUGUAGCGGUGAAAUGCGUAGAGAUCUGAAGGAAUACCAGUGGCGAAGGCGGCCCCCUGGACAAAGACUGACGCUCAGAUGCGAAAGCGUGGGGAGCAAAACAGGAUUAGAUACCCU